AUUGCUUUGAUCGUCCUUGAAUUUAACAAUUUGUUUUGUUGAGAUGACAGGCAACACAGUUGCUGCUCUCAUGGCUCAUCUUUGCUCAAGAAACUGAGGUGAAAUGUAAGAUUAAUACUAUAAAUAAGUGAACAUUCAUGGAAAUGUCUAUUGGUGUAAACUUAUCUUUAUAUGCUUCAUCAACCAUAGAAAAUGUUUAGUUCCCAAGCAUUCACUAUACACAUUUAACGGUCAACGUAGAAACACUUUCAAGGCAUAUUUGCUACAUGACUAGGUAGAUACAAAUUGCUAGCUUCUUCAUUUCCCUAAUUAUUGCCCACAUUUACUAAAUGAGUCAUUAUAAAGUAAGAAAAUAAAGAACCAAUAUCUGUUUCUUCAUGUUGCGAUCGUGAUAAUAAAAAUGGCAAAUAAGAACUCAAGAUCGAAGGCUAAGGUAAAACAUCAUAUCUCUAUCAGAUUUGAAAUAAUCCAACUUUCUAUUAGUAAUUCAGCCAAUUAGUCCAAUUUAUUCAGGAAGAUUUACUGAUGUUAUUUGUUAUGUAAAGUACAACCUAUACUCGCUUUAGCCAGAUAAGUAAAUCUCUAGAGAGAAAAUAUUAAAAAAGGAAUUAGCAUAAUGUAGAGAUAUUUGGGGAGCUGAGGAAACAGAGAGAGGAAAACAGAAUAAAAAAUUCACUAUCAAAAUAGUGGACAAAUUUAAGUUUUAGAGCUAUGCUUAAAUUAUCACAUGUUAAGGGCUUCCUCUGCUCUCUAUAUAUUUCAUUUUUAACCUACAAAUGAACAAACAAUUACCUUCAAGUUUUGAAACUCAAAUUUGCUCUUUUAAUGCAGGACAUACAAGUGCAGAUGAGACGUUAAGGAGAAUUAGGGUAUCCAUCAUGUUCAAAAAUUAACGGAACCUGCAGAUUUUCAAGAAUUGGUGAAUUCCAGCAUUACGACAAGGUAAUUAAUGUAAUAUUUAAAUUACACUUCAAAGUAUAUUCUUUUUGUUUGUCUAUUUCCUAGAUUGAAUCAUAUUUGUGACAGUAUUUAGUUAUGUUCAUUGCACGUCUUACCAUGUAGGUGUACAAACAUGAACCAGGAAGCCGCAAUUCCUUUUGCUGUCAUUGUACACGAGCUUUUAAAUAUUUUUUUUUUUUUUAAAGUUAAAGGAGGGCGGUACCUCCAAGAUUUUAUUAAUUUGCCCUCACUUGUGACGGAAGAAUACCGUGGUUGCAUAUGGAAAAAUGAAAGCAAUAAAUGAGAAAGACUACUUCCCUUACAAUAAUUGAAAAUGCUAAAGAAAAUGUGUUAAGCGGUAAAAAAUGAAGUACUACUUCCCUUACAAUAAGAUUUGAUGCAAUUAAAGACAAAAAGUAAAAACAACUAAAACUAAAAAUUAAAAUAGAAUUACCAUUCACAUUCUAACAUUGGGCAGUCCAUGUCUAUCAAUUUGUGCGAGUGCUCGAAUAUGACGUGGUAGGUCAGAUGAUCCAUACAUUUGAUAUCGCCGGUGCUCCCAACCUAUUGCGGCAAGAGCGUCUGCAACUUGGUUUUCCUCUCUACAGAUAUGGGUAACUCUGUCUCUAUCGAAGGAGAUGAUGUCUGCAAUCUUUCUGAGUAUGCCUCCUUCAUCUUUUGUGAUGCAAUAAAUGGCUGCACUGGAAUCUGCCUCAACCCAAAUGUCUAAAAAUCUAAGGCCCCUAGCCAAUAGUAUCCCAUCAAGAAUAGCCUUCUAGUAUCUUACAUUGUUCAUACAAUGUUGAGAAUGCCCUUAUGCAUUUUCCUGUGUGGUCUCUGACGAUACCUCCCCCGCUCGCAAAGUCAUCCUUGAAGUUUUUAAACUUGAAGGUAUGUCAACUUCUAUUUAAGUUUGUAA
rnacentral:lncRNA from 1 species